GUACUCUCUCUGGCAACACAUACUCUAAAACUGGAGCAAUACAGAGAAGAUUAGCAUGGGCCCUGUGCAAGGAUGACAUGAAAAUUCAUGAAGUGUUCCAUAUUGUU
ensembl:snRNA U6 U6 spliceosomal RNA